AUGGACAUAAACACCACAAUCAAGGGGAUCGCGAAGGACAUUGCUAGCGAGGCUAGCAAAAUCGCCGCUAGCGCGGCCGCCAAAGCUGCUGACGAGGGCUUGCCGAAAUUUCACUUCUCCACCAAUGAGCGGGACGCCGCCAGCACCACGCUCAUUCUAUUCUUUGAAAGUCUUGUCGAGGCAUUGGAAAAGCAACAGGAGGCUCGAGCUACACAUCUUGCCACCGAGUCCCGCGGGCUUUGCCGAGAUUUCCUCUUCAAGGUACCAGAACCAUGGCCUCGACAUCUCCAAGGCUUUCAAGAGGUUGCCGAAGGAAGCAAAUACCAAGGCCGCCAAAGAGCUUGUCGCGCCACUCGCCGACUAGGUCGCCGCAAUCCCCUGGACUGA
rnacentral:rRNA from 1 species